rnacentral:sRNA from 1 species
UCUCCCACUCUCGCUCGUACUGCCCCUCCCCUUCCAAUUCAUCUCUCUCUCUGUCUCACUCGCAAUCAGGGCGAAUCCCUCGCAACUCGCUGAAACCCAGCAGCACGGCAGGCUCCAGCCAUGUCCGUCCUUGCGUCGCUUCCCAUGUCGCCGACCGCUUCUACUGCCCGCCAUUGCGCCGCCACCUGCU